rnacentral:rRNA from 1 species
CCUACGGGGAGCAGCAGUGGGGAAUAUUGGACAAUGGGCGAAAGCCUGAUCCAGCCAUGCCGCGUGUGUGAAGAAGGCCUUCGGGUUGUAAAGCACUUUCAGUGGGGAAGAAAGCCUUGGGGCUAAUACCCUCGAGGAAGGACAUCACCCACAGAAGAAGCACCGGCUAACUCCGUGCCAGCAGCCGCGGUAAUACGGAGGGUGCGAGCGUUAAUCGGAAUUACUGGGCGUAAAGCGCGCGUAGGCGGUCUGAUAAGCCGGUUGUGAAAGCCCCGGGCUCAACCUGGGAACGGCAUCCGGAACUGGCAGGCUAGAGUGCAGGAGAGGAGGGUAGAAUUCCCGGUGUAGCGGUGAAAUGCGUAGAGAUCGGGAGGAAUACCAGUGGCGAAGGCGGCCUUCUGGACUGACACUGACGCUGAGGUGCGAAAGCGUGGGUAGCAAACAGGAUUAGAUACCCUGGUAGUC